rnacentral:rRNA from 1 species
UGCGCAGGCGGACCUAUUAGUCAGUGGUGAAAUCCCGGGGCUCAACUCCGGAACUGCCAUUGAUACUGUAGGUCUUGAGUUUGGUUGAAGUGGGCGGAAUGUAGCAUGUAGCGGUGAAAUGCAUAGAUAUGCUGCAGAACACCGAUCGCGAAGGCAGCUCACUAAACCAAAACUGACGCUCAGGCACGAAAGCGUGGGUAGCGAACAGGAUUAGAUACCCUGGUAGUCC